AUGCUGGGUAUUUCGGAGAAACUUUAUAUCUGCAUUUUUCUCAGAAGUGAUUGACUAUUCAAAACAGAGACAUCUUAAUACAAAGCGAAGUGUAGCAGUUUCGAAACUGCUGUUUGCAUGAAAUUUUCACUAAAACAUAUAUGUGUCUAGCCCAGCAAUAUACUGUCAAGCAACGACGAGUCACCACGAGUGCGCACUGUCAUCAAAAAGAAACUUUAUUGCCUUCAGAGCGUGUACUGUUUUAGGACUAAUUGUUAUGUUAGUAAGUAAUUCCAAGAAACUCACUACCUGUAAUUGAUGCUGACGUAAUUUUCUCGGAAACAAUAUAGGGAUGCGCCAGAAAAGACAAGAACCCAGUCACAAAGGUGAAACGUUGGAAGGAGAUUCCAAAAUUUCUCUGUGAACACAUUCUAAAAAUUUCAGCUUGUUUGCUUGUAGUUUAGGAAUCGAUGUUGUCAGCUUUGUUAUCAAGCGACACUCGUUGUUAUUAGGAAUGUGCUAACUCAGCGCUAUUUGAGAUUUUGAAGGUAUGCUUAGCUCAGCAAUAUUUUGUCAAGAAACGAUGAGUCAUUGUCAUUACAAAAUCAUACAUUUCGAGAUCAGCCAAUCAGACGUUGAUGAAAUAUCUUAAUAAAGAGGCAUCUGAAUACAAGAUCACUCAUCCACAAAGGUAAAACGGUCCUGGAAGAGACUUCAAAAUUUCACGGGGAUUCGUCUUACAAAUUUCAGCUCAUUUCCUUGAAGCGAAUUUGCAGCAAGAAUGGACAAAGAAGGAGGUCAUAAGACUGAUGGGGGAUCUAAGCAUUUGAUGGAUAAAGAAGCGGCUUCUCGCAUCCAGGCGGCGGAGGCAAAACAACAUGGCGGCGGGGUCGAGAAAGGAGGCUUCGCUUCGCGUGCUCAGUCCACUGCUGACAAGCGUGAAAACCAGAAAAACUAGACAAGCAUGAAGACAAGAACAACUAGAACUUAAAAGUAGAUCGUGAAAAUCAAAAUACGAGCACCUUAAAGGUAGAAAUGUGUAAUUCGGCUAAUGUGGCACAACUGUCUAGCCGUAGAAUCGUUAAAUGUAUGUAGCGUUGUUCUUUGAUUAAACGAUUACAAAAAAAGGUA